GGCAAUGCCAGCCAUGCGGGCAA
rnacentral:sRNA from 1 species